GCUGUCGUCAGCUCGUGUCGUGAGAUGUUGGGUUAAGUCCCGCAACGAGCGCAACCCUCGUCCUAUGUUGCCAGCGGGUCAUGCCGGGGACUCAUAGGAGACUGCCGGGGUCAACUCGGAGGAAGGUGGGGAUGACGUCAAAUCAUCAUGCCCCUUAUGUCUUGGGCUUCACGCAUGCUACAAUGGCCGGUACAAAGGGCUGCGAUACCGCGAGGUGGAGCGAAUCCCAAAAAGCCGGUCUCAGUUCGGAUUGGGGUCUGCAACUCGACCCCAUGAAGUCGGAGUCGCUAGUAAUCGCAGAUCAGCAACGCUGCGGUGAAUACGUUCCCGGGCCUUGUACACACCGCCCGUCAAGUCACGAAAGUCGGUAACACCCGAAGCCGGUGGCCCAACCUCACUUGUGAGGAGGGAGCUGUCGAAGGUGGGACUGGCGAUUGGGACUAAGUCGUAACAAGGUAGCCGUACCGGAAGGUGCGGCUGGAUCACCUCCUUUCUAAGGAGCUCUGGCACCACUCGUCCCGCUUCGUCGGGAGUCACGAGCAGUGUCCAGGCCCAUGCCCCGGCCGUUCGCGUCGGGGGUGGUGCUCAAGGGUGGAACAUCGACUAUGGCCGGCCGCCGAAGCGGUCCCUGCUAGUACCUCCGAGCUUGCUCGAAGUGGAACGCGGAGAUCGUGGGUGCGACUGGUCUUGGCACGCUGUUGGGUCCUGAGGGAACGGGCGAAGGUCCGGAACUUCAGGUCGCCGACACUCCUACGGGGGUCGAGGUGACUGCUAGCGGACCACAGGAAGGUCGGGUGUCUUGCCCGGUUGUGAGUGUGGGGUCGCCCGUAGCUUGAGAACUGCACAGUGGACGCGAGCAUCUUUAGUUAAGAUUUAUUGUUGUCAAGUUUUUAAGGGCACAUGGUGGAUGCCUUGGCACUAGGAGCCGAAGAAGGACGUUGUAGCCUGCGAUAAGCCUCGGGGAGUUGGCAAACGAACCGUGAUCCGAGGAUUUCCGAAUGGGGAAACCCGG
rnacentral:sRNA from 1 species